GACGAACGCUGGCGGCGUGCUUAACACAUGCAAGUCGAACGAUGAAGAAAAGAAUCGAAGCUUUGGCAGAAAUGCAUUUCGGAGUAGUGGCAGACGGGUGAGUAACGCGUGAGCAAGCUACCGCUUACAAAGGGAUAGCUACGGGAAACCGGGAUUAAUACCAUAUAACAUUGUGACGAAGCAUUUCGAUGCAAUCAAAGCUACGGCGGGAAGAGAUGGGCGCGCGUCCCAUUAACCGGAUGGUGAGGUAACGGCUGCCCAUAGUGACGAUGGGUAACCGGGCUGAGAGGCUGACCCGUCACACUUGAGCUGAGACACGGUCCAGACUCCUACGGGAGGCAGCAGUGGGGAAUAUUGCACAAUGGAGGGAGCUCAGAUGCAGCGACGCCGCGUAAGUGAUGAAGGAAUUCGUUUCGUAAAUCUCUGUUCUAUGGGGAGAGAAUGACUGUACCAUAGGAGAAAGCACCGGCUAACUACGUG
rnacentral:rRNA from 1 species